rfam:Lysinibacillus sp. BF-4 contig00032, whole genome shotgun sequence.
AGGAAGCACUAGGGGUGCCAGUUUGGCUGAGAGAGUCCCUUAGAACCUGACCUAGCUCAUACUAGCGUAGGAAAGUGUAACGCCCCCGCU